UUUUGGAUACGACUUUAUUAAUCCCACAACGGUGAAAUUUUUGAAGCAAUUGUGUUCAAUAUUUUCAAACUUCCUGCUCCACUAUUAUAUAAACGGUAUCACAUGUCACGAUCUUAUGAUUCUUAGUUCGCUGCUAAUGUAUUGGACUGACUUGACGUUUCACUUUGCAGAAUGCUGAGCUGACUUUUGGCCCGUUACCACGGCGACUGGACGAGCGCUGAGAAGAAAACACAUCUACCUGCUACAAUCAGGGACUCAUACCGCAAAUACCUUUUAUGCAUAAAUGGUGGCUGCACAGCUGCACUAGUCCAGAACCUUAACUGCUCUUAACAGAUCACGUGGCUCUCCUCCCGCUGACAGGUGUGUGUCAGUUGACUAUAGGACACCAUGAUAUUGAUUAACGAGACGAGUGAUGCCGAGGCGCAGAUAUUUUCCCACUUUUGAGGUUUUAUGAGAUCGCUCCGUGGAUUUCUGUCUUUGUAGCUGAUGCAAAAUAACUGGAUAUGUCCUAUUUACUGUUGUACUACAGCAACGUGAUGCUUACAGUAAGUCUCUAAAUGCGCGGUUAAACCCUGGAGGGGUGAGCGUGGAUGAACCCUGAACGCCUCUCACCAACAGGGCACCUGCAAAGCUGCGAUCGGUGAUGAAAGGAGCAGACGGAGCCGACCACAGCCGACAUAGUCAUUUCAGGCACCACUCCCAGACUCCCAGACCCAGUGUGUGGAUUACAGGCAGCCAGGCCUCCUUCUAUUAGUGACAGACCAUAACAACGUGCUUCACCUGGUAGAAUGGUUGCGCAACCUGGGCAAAGGUCAACAUCAGGGUCAAAGCAACUCCCCCACAUUUUACACGUAACCUAACAUGAACACUGAGGAAACGGGUCAGUGCGUGAACACGCGUGACGAAGGUGUGGCUCCUUUCUGAGACACUCGAGUUCCUCCUUCAGUUCACACGCAGCUGACCCGCGACUCCUCCCAGAAUGCACCUCUCCUUCGGUUGUUUGCUCAGUCUGCCUGAAGUGAUGUUUUCACACUCACAGACAACGCACCGCCGUGAGGGCGGUCGUCGUGUUGUCAGAUCCUCGACGUGUACAAACACAUGGUUGAUCUGACAACGGGCGCCAUCCACCGUGUAAGCUUUCCUAUGAAUUAUCCCCCGUAAUAGCUGUAGGAAACCUGCAGUAGCUGGACGGAUUCCUGCUUCCUAGUACACGGUGAGCUCUGAGGUAAAAAUAACAUUGUUGUACUCAGCUGUCAAUUGCCAAAAUAAGAUCUGUGCCAAGAUAAAGUCAGCAGGGAUUCCUCAAUGACAGAUCGCAUGCUGACAAUGUCUUUGUUUCAGAAAUGCCCAUGAGGUGAAAAGCCUCGAUGCAUUCAGGUACCUCAGGUGACACGAUGUUUUAGCACCUGCUUUGUCGAGUUGUUGAGUCAUGGAGCCUGGACUCAUGUCGUAACGUUUCACUCCUCACCCGAGUGGCUUUGGUCUAACGAUAUCUUCCACAUCUAACUGAAACAGUUCCCUGACAGAUUCACUCGUACAGCUGCAGCCCGACCCGGUGACCCGCUCAAGGCCGACCCGCCGCCACUCGCACACCUCAUUUGAAGCGGUUCUUCUCACCUCCUUCCAGAUCGAGAUCAUGCACAACACACCUUGUCCUGAACAAAGAAUGGCACUUCCUGUGGUAUAUGUCUUCUUCACAGUUUUAAAAUGUUUUUGUAUCUGAUUUGACUCAGUGUGGGUUCAGCGCAUGUUUAUUUGUGAGCAUCUGCUGCCGCUUUGUGGCAAUAAAUGAUAUGACAUUCACCCAAAGCAAAUUAUCUAAAAUGGGAUCAGCAGUUGACCAAAAAGACCUUUUAAAGCGUAGUUGUCAGUUAUAACGAUAUCUGUUUUGGGUUUUAAGUGGAUAACCAACUUAUGUAUAAACAAAAAAUUGUAUAUAAUGAUUAAUUAAACACUAAUGAUGCUGAUUUAUGUGUGUGCAAUGAUGGAGAAGUCACAUUAUAAACAUAUGACUCAAUAGCAAAAUUGAUUGCAAUACGUUAUACUUUCAAAACUCAUCCAAAUUGUAUCAUAUCAUAUUUUAUUGUGCACGAAGCUUCAUAUUGGCUCAUCGGGCCUCAGGUGUAGUUCCACUUUCUGGCAGCAGAUGGCAGCAGACAGACACCCUUCAUCUCUGCACAACGACUCCAUAAGUCCCUAGUAGCAAAAAGUUGAAUCUGCUAACUAUGUACAACAGAAAGCAAUGACCAUCACAGCUUUUUAGCUUUAAUACUAAUCAGAAUGUAAUUAACCAAGUCAUUUUCUAUUCUAGUCAAUGUAUCUAAACAGGCCUCAGCAGUUUUUCCUGUGUUUCAACACGAAACAGCAAGUCUGUGUCGUCCUUACAGUGAUGUUAGCAUCAAAUGAGCCUGAAAGAGUAAAAUGCAGGUAGAAACGUGUCACAAGUCACAAAUUCAGCUCCACGAAAAAGCCCAGUGGUUGAAGAGUGAUUUGUGACGGCCUGUACGCUGACUCCCUGACUCGGUGAAAAGGCUGGUAACACUGGUAAACAACGUCCAACCCUGGACCUGGUGACCUCCCUGUUCCUUCAUUCCAACACGUCCCGUUCCACAUAACUUUGAAGUCAAAGACAAAAAGAGGAAAAUGUAUCCCUGGGGUCUUUGGAAUUCAUGUGAGCAACCACAAAAACAACACUUCAUCAGGGGCACCAUUCAGAAGGGUGAUCAGCAAUAUAUGGGGGAAUUCAAAUGAGAAGCAUUGUGUGGGGAGAUUUGUCUCGUCCCUGGCCCCUUCCUCCUUUUUACCAUCCUCUCAUGAGUGACUUUGAUGUGGACGAGAUGACUGAAAAACAAAGCGGCGUGGCCCGAUUUAAAUCCAGCGGAGAAUAGGUUAGUGGGAUGAGUGGGUGGGCAGGGGGAGAGUGGCGUUUCACAGGAGAGACACAAGAAAAUCACAUUUCAGCCUGUGUAUCAAUCUGCCAAGGAAAGAGAUGGGAAGGAAUGGGAUGGUGUGGGGGGGGGGGGGGGG